rnacentral:rRNA from 1 species
CAGACGGCGGGGUAACGGCCCACCGUACCGACGAUGCGUAGGGGUUCUGAGAGGAAGGUCCCCCACACUGGUACUGAGACACGGACCAGACUCCUACGGGAGGCAGCAGUGAGGAAUAUUGGUCAAUGGGCGGGAGCCUGAACCAGCCAAGCCGCGUGAGGGAAGAAGGCCCUACGGGUCGUAAACCUCUUUUGCCGGGGAACAAAAGCGGGUAUGUAUACCCGUAUGAGUGUACCCGGAGAAAAAGCAUCGGCUAACUCCGUGCCAGCAGCCGCGGUAAUACGGAGGAUGCGAGCGUUAUCCGGAUUUAUUGGGUUUAAAGGGUG